UACGAAGGGGCUAGCGUUGCUCGGAAUCACUGGGCGUAAAGGGCGCGUAGGCGGCCGAUUAAGUCGGGGGUGAAAGCCUGUGGCUCAACCACAGAAUUGCCUUCGAUACUGGUUGGCUUGAGUAUGGUAGAGGUUGGUGGAACUGCGAGUGUAGAGGUGAAAUUCGUAGAUAUUCGCAAGAACACCGGUGGCGAAGGCGGCCAACUGGACCAUUACUGACGCUGAGGCGCGAAAGCGUGGGGAGCAAACAGG
rnacentral:rRNA from 1 species